AGGAGGCAGGCGGCGGACGGGUCGCUCGCCAAUCGGGUCAGGUCGGGAACGAAGCAGCCCCAACGAGUUUUUUCGCCCGGGUCGCUCGUCUGUCUCCGCCU
rfam:Hyphomonas sp. L-53-1-40 contig5, whole genome shotgun sequence.